rnacentral:lncRNA from 1 species
AUGAAAAUAGGACACAACUUACCCAAAUCUCUGGAAUGCAGCUAAAGCAGUGUUAAAAGGAAAGUUUAUAGCACUAAAUGUCUUCAUCAGGAAAAUAGAAAGAUCUCUAAUUAACAACAAACAUUAUAUCUAAAGGAGCUAGAAAGAAAAGAAUAAACCAACCCCAAAGCUAGCAAAAGAAAAGAAAUAACUAAAAUUAGAAACUUUUCAUUUGUUUUUUUAAAAAAUAAUGUCUAUCUCAUUAUUUAUAUUCUUUUUUUGCUUACUUGUUUUCUCUUAAUGUUAUGAUUUGCCACCUUUCAUCCUUAUUCCUUGUUUACUAUUUUAGCUCAUUUGUGUUCUCAAAUUGCAUAUUGCAUAAUCCUUUCCUCCAAUGGAAACAGAAAGAGCAGAAUGCUUGCCACUAGUUGGCAAAGUUUUGAUUCCAUUGCAAACCAUGCUUUAAAGGUAUUUCACAGAUGUCAUCCAUAUUAUUCUGCAAAGCAGCCCCAUAAGAAGAGUGAUGCUUAUUUUACUUAAAAUUUUAGGAAGCAGAUUAAGAGACAUCCGACAUUCUUUCAAAUUACC